rnacentral:rRNA from 1 species
GACGAACGCUGGCGGCGUGCUUAACACAUGCAAGUCGAACGGAAAGGCCCUGCUUUUGUGGGGUGCUCGAGUGGCGAACGGGUGAGUAACACGUGAGUAACCUGCCCUUGACUUUGGGAUAACUUCAGGAAACUGGGGCUAAUACCGGAUAGGAGCUCCUGCUGCAUGGUGGGGGUUGGAAAGUUUCGGCGGUUGGGGAUGGACUCGCGGCUUAUCAGCUUGUUGGUGGGGUAGUGGCUUACCAAGGCUUUGACGGGUAGCCGGCCUGAGAGGGUGACCGGCCACAUUGGGACUGAGAUACGGCCCAGACUCCUACGGGAGGCAGCAGUGGGGAAUAUUGCACAAUGGGCGGAAGCCUGAUGCAGCAACGCCGCGUGCGGGAUGACGGCCUUCGGGUUGUAAACCGCUUCCGCCUGUGACGAAGCGUGAGUGACGGUAAUGGGUAAAGAAGCACCGGCUAACUACGUGCCAGCAGCCGCGGUGAUACGUAGGGUGCGAGCGUUGUCCGGAUUUAUUGGGCGUAAAGGGCUCGUAGGUGGUUGAUCGCGUCGGAAGUGUAAUCUUGGGGCUUAACCCUGAGCGUGCUUUCGAUACGGGUUGACUUGAGGAAGGUAGGGGAGAAUGGAAUUCCUGGUGGAGCGGUGGAAUGCGCAGAUAUCAGGAGGAACACCAGUGGCGAAGGCGGUUCUCUGGGCCUUUCCUGACGCUGAGGAGCGAAAGCGUGGGGAGCGAACAGGCUUAGAUACCCUGGUAGCCCACGCUGUAAACGGUGGGUACUAGGUGUGGGGUCCAUUCCACGGGUUCCGUGCCGUAGCUAACGCUUUAAGUACCCCGCCUGGGGAGUACGGCCGCAAGGCUAAAACUCAAAGGAAUUGACGGGGCCCCGCACAAGCGGCGGAGCAUGCGGAUUAAUUCGAUGCAACGCGUAGAACCUUACCUGGGUCUGACAUGGAUCGGGAGUGCUCAGAGAUGGGUGUGCCUCUUUUGGGGUCGGUUCACAGGUGGUGCAUGGCUGUCGUCAGCUCGUGUCGUGAGAUGUUGGGUUAAGUCCCGCAACGAGCGCAACCCUUGUUCACUGUUGCCAGCACGUUAUGGUGGGGACUCAGUGGAGACCGCCGGGGUCAACUCGGAGGAAGGUGGGGAUGACGUCAAGUCAUCAUGCCCCUCAUGUCCAGGGCUUCACGCAUGCUACAAUGGCUGGUACAGAGAGUGGCGAGCCUGUGAGGGUGAGCGAAUCUCGGAAAGCCGGUCUCAGUUCGGAUUGGGGUCUGCAACUCGACCUCAUGAAGUCGGAGUCGCUAGUAAUCGCAGAUCAGCAACGCUGCGGUGAAUACGUUCCCGGGGCU